AUUGAACGCUGGCGGCAUGCUUUACACAUGCAAGUCGAGCGGCAGCGCGGGGGCAACCCUGGCGGCGAGCGGCGAACGGGUGAGGAAUACAUCGGAACGUGCCCCGGAGUGGGGGAUAACGCCGCGAAAGCGGCGCUAAUACCGCAUAUGCUCUGAGGAGGAAAGCGGGGGACCUGUGAGGGCCUCGCGCUCUGGGAGCGGCCGAUGUCCGAUUAGCUAGUUGGCGGGGUAACGGCCCACCAAGGCGACGAUCCGUAGCUGGUCUGAGAGGAUGAUCAGCCACACUGGAACUGAGACACGGUCCAGACUCCUACGGGAGGCAGCAGUAGGGAAUAUUGGACAAUGGGCGCAAGCCUGAUCCAGCCAUGCCGCGUGAGUGAAGAAGGCCUUCGGGUUGUAAAGCUCUUUUGUCCGGAAAGAAAAGCAUCCAGUUAAUACCUGGGUGUCCUGACGGUACCGGAAGAAUAAGCACCGGCUAACUUCGUGCCAGCAGCCGCUGUAACAC
rnacentral:rRNA from 1 species